AUUCGUCUCUGCGCAGUCAGUGAGGUUCUAACAGGAGGCGCGUCUAUUGCUGGUUGAAAAUUAUUUCCAAACUCCAAACCCCCUCGUAGGCCUGGUGCUGCACAGGCUUUCGAGAAUUUCUGGAAGGAUUUCAUUU
rnacentral:snRNA from 1 species